CCUACGGGAGGCAGCAGUGGGGGAUAUUGCACAAUGGGGGGAACCCUGAUGCAGCGACGCCGCGUGGGUGAAGGAGCGUUUCGGCGCGUAAAGCCCUAUCGGCAGGGAAGAAGGAGGACGGUACCUGACUAAGAAGCCCCGGCUAACUACGUGCCAGCAGCCGCGGUAAUACGUAGGGGGCAAGCGUUAUCCGGAUUUACUGGGUGGAAAGGGGGGGCAGACGGCAGCGCAAGCCAGGAGUGAAAGCCCGGGGCCCAACCCCGGGACUGCUCUUGGAACUGCGCGGCUGGAGUGCAGGAGGGGCAGGCGGAAUUCCUGGUGUAGCGGUGAAAUGCGUAGAUAUCAGGAGGAACACCGGUGGCGAAGGCGGUCUGCUGGACUGCGACUGACGUUGAGGCCCGAAAGCGUGGGGAGCAAACAGGAUUAGAUACCCCGGUAGUC
rnacentral:rRNA from 1 species